UACGGCGGGGGCAAGCGUUUUCCGGAUUCACUGGGUGUAAAGGGCGCGUAGGCGGGUUAGCAAGUCAGAGGUGAAAUCUCCCGGCUCAACCGGGAAACUGCCUUUGAAACUGUUAAUCUUGAGUGCGGAAGAGAGAGACGGAAUUCCAGGUGUAGCGGUGAAAUGCGUAGAUAUCUGGAGGAACACCGGUUGCGAAGGCGGUCUCUUGGUCCGUAACUGACGCGCAGGCGAGAAAGCGGGGGUAGCACACAGGAGGAGAUAACCGCGUAGUCC
rnacentral:rRNA from 1 species